CGCAGAUGAUGUCUUAUCACGAUGGUCUUCUGAACCGUUUGGGUUUUGAGGAUAGUGCCUAAUGGCUUUACUGAUGCCUCCCU